AUACGUAGGGUGCAAGCGUUAAUCGGAAUUACUGGGCGUAAAGCGUGCGCAGGCGGUUUUGUAAGACAGAGGUGAAAUCCCCGGGCUCAAACUGGGAACUGCCUUUGUGACUGCAAGGCUAGAGUACGGCAGAGGGGGGUGGAAAUCCGCGUGUAGCAGUGAAAUGCGUAGAUAUGCGGAGGAACACCGAUGGCGAAGGCAAUCCCCUGGGCCUGUACUGACGCUCAUGCACGAAAGCGUGGAAAGCAAACAGGAUUAGAUACCCUGGUAGUCCACGCCCUAAACGAUGUCAACUGGUUGUUGGGUCUUCAUUGACUCAGUAACGAAGCUAACGCGUGAAGUUGACCGCCUGGGGAGUACGGCCGCAAGGUUGAAACUCAAAGGAAUUGACGGGG
rnacentral:rRNA from 1 species